CAGUCGCCGCGGUAAUACAGAGGGUGCGAGCGUUAAUCGGAUUUACUGGGCGUAAAGCGUGCGUAGGCGGCUUCUUAAGUCGGAUGUGAAAUCCCUGAGCUUAACUUAGGAAUUGCAUUCGAUACUGGGAAGCUAGAGUAUGGGAGAGGAUGGUAGAAUUCCAGGUGUAGCGGUGAAAUGCGUAGAGAUCUGGAGGAAUACCGACGGCGAAGGCAGCCAUCUGGCCUAAUACUGACACUGAGGUACGAAAGCAUGGGGAGCAAACAGGAUUAGAUACCCCUGUAGUCCCUGUCUCUUAUAC
rnacentral:rRNA from 1 species